UAUAAGUCAACCCUAAUUUUUCAACGAGUGUUGUGUUGGCUACGUUAGUGCAGCUCCCUCCAUCGAUGAUUAUACUGCAUAUCUUUCUACCCACGAGACACCUUGUAUAGAAUAUAUUCUCUCUCUGAUCAUCCUCCUCCUUUACCUAGAUAUUGAGGGCUCUCCUUGAGCUGUGUACUCAUGUUCCUCAUCCAUAACUUCUAGUGAUGACAUGCUAUCACUUUCAGAGUCACUGUCGAUCUCGCCAUCGUCUCUUAAAGACGUAACCCUUUUAUUUGAGUAUUGGGAAAUGAUGUGCCCAAAAUAUAAAGACCUGAAACAUUUGAUAGUGCUAUAUUUCUAAGAUGAGAUAGGUGUCUUACUUUU
rnacentral:lncRNA from 1 species